rnacentral:rRNA from 1 species
GACGAACGCUGGCGGCGUGCCUAAUACAUGCAAGUAGAACGCACAGUUUAUACCGUAGCUUGCUACACCAUAAACUGUGAGUUGCGAACGGGUGAGUAACGCGUAGGUAACCUGCCUGGUAGCGGGGGAUAACUAUUGGAAACGAUAGCUAAUACCGCAUAAUAUUGAUUAUUGCAUGAUAAUUGAUUGAAAGAUGCUAUUGCAUCACUACCAGAUGGACCUGCGUUGUAUUAGCUAGUAGGUGAGGUAACGGCUCACCUAGGCGACGAUACAUAGCCGACCUGAGAGGGUGAUCGGCCACACUGGGACUGAGACACGGCCCAGACUCCUACGGGAGGCAGCAGGAGGGAAUCUUCGGCAAUGGACGAAAGUCUGACCGAGCAACGCCGCGUGAGUGAAGAAGGUUGUCGGAUCGUAAAGCUCUGUUGUAAGAGAAGAACGGGUGUGAGAGUGGAAAGUUCACACUGUGACGGUAUCUUACCAGAAAGGGACGGCUAACUACGUG